rnacentral:rRNA from 1 species
CCUACGGGAGGCUGCAGUGAGGAAUAUUGGUCAAUGGGCGCAAGCCUGAACCAGCCAAGUCGCGUGAGGGCUGACGGUCCUAUGGAUUGUAAACCUCUUUUGUCGGGGAGCAAGGCCCGACACGUGUGGCGGGAAGGAGAGUACCCGAAGAAAAAGCAUCGGCUAACUCCGUGCCAGCAGCCGAGGUAAUACGGGGGAUGCGAGCGUUAUCCGGAUUUAUUGGGUUUAAAGGGUGCGUAGGCGGAAGGUUAAGUCAGCGGUAAAAUGUCGGUGCUCAACACCGGCCUGCCGUUGAAACUGGUCUUCUUGAGUGAGCGAGAAGUAUGCGGAAUGCGUGGUGUAGCGGUGAAAUGCAUAGAUAUCACGCAGAACUCCGAUUGCGAAGGCAGCAUACCGGCGCUCAACUGACGCUGAGGCACGAAAGCGUGGGGAUCGAACAGGAUUAGAUACCCCUGUAGUC